GGACGUGAUCGGAUUACUGGGCGUAAAGGGCGCGUAGGCGGCUUGGCAAGUCAGAUGUGAAAGCCCCGGGCUUAACUUGGGAAUUGCAUCUGAAACUGCUUUGCUUGAGUCCUGGAGGGGGUAGUGGAAUUCCCAGUGUAGCGGUGAAAUGCGUAGAUAUUGGGAGGAACACCUGCGGCGAAGGCGGCUACCUGGACAGUGACUGACGCUGAGGCGCGAAAGCUAGGGGAGCAAACGGGAUUAGAUACCCCGGUAGUCCUAGCCGUAAACGAUGGGCACUUGGUGUUGGGGGUAUUGAGUCCCCCGGUGCCGGAGUUAACAUAUUAAGUGCCCCGCCUGGGGAGUACGGUCGCAAGACUGAAACUCAAAGGAAUUGACGGGGGCCCGCACAAGCGGUGGAGCAUGUGGUUCAAUUCGACGCAACGCGAAGAACCUUACCGGGGCUCGAACGGUAGUUGCUACUCCUGGAAACAGGAGGUUCUCUUCGGAGACGGCUAUCGAGGCGCUGCAUGGCUGUCGUCAGCUCGUGUCGUGAGAUGUUGGGUUAAGUCCCGCAACGAGCGCAACCCUUGCCCUUAGUUGCCACCAGGUAAUGCUGAGCACCCUAAGGGAACUGUCGGCGAAAAGCCGGAGGAAGGUGGGGAUGACGUCAAGUCCUCAUGGCCCUUACGUCCCGGGCAACACACGUGCUACAAUGGUCGGUACAAAGGGUCGCCAACCCGUGAGGGGGAGCUAAUCCCAAAAACCCGAUCCCAGUCCGGAUUGCAGUCUGCAACUCGACUGCAUGAAGUCGGAAUCGCUAGUAAUCGCAGAUCAGCACGCUGCGGUGAAUACGUUCCCGGGCCUUGUACACACCGCCCGUCACAUCACGAAAGUGGGUUGUACUAGAAAUCGCUGGGCUAACCCGCGAGGGGGGCAGGCGCUUAAGGUAUGAUCCAUGAUUGGGUGAAGUCGUAACAAGGUAAC
rnacentral:rRNA from 1 species